rnacentral:rRNA from 1 species
AAGGACCGCGGUAUUUCUGACCGUGCAAAGGUAGCAUAAUCAUUAGUCUUUUAAUUGGGGGCUGGGAUGAAUGGUUUGACGAAAUAGUUACUGUCUCUGUUAUGAUUAAUUGAAUUUUACUUUUAAGUUAAAAGGCUUAAAUGAUAAUAAGGGACGAGAAGACCCUAUAGAUCUUUAUAAUUUUUUUUUUAUUAUUAGUUUUUAGGUGUUUAAUUAUUUAUGAAUUUGAAUUAUUUUAUUGGGGUGAUAUGGGAAUAUUUUAACUUCUUAGUUUUUGAACUUUGAUAGAUGAUUUUAUGAUCCUUUAAUAUGGAAUGAAGAUUAAGAUACCUUAGGGAUAACAGCGUUAUUUUAUUGGAUAGUUCUUAUUGAUAAUAUAGAUUGCGACCUCGAUGUUGGAUUAAGAAUAUAUGUUGUG